CAAUAGCGUAUAUUAAAGUUGUUGCAGUUAAAAAGCUCAUAGUUGGAUUUCUGGCAGGAGCGACCGGUCACACACUCUGUGUGUGAACUUGCGUUGUCUCUGGCCAUCCUUGGGAAGAUCCUGUUUGGCAUUAAGUUGUCGGGCAGGGGAUACCCAUCGUUUACUGUGAAAAAAUUAGAGUGUUUAAAGCAGGCUUAUGCCGUUGAAUAUAUUAGCAUGGAAUAAUAAGAUAGGACUUCGGAACUAUUUUGUUGGUUUGCGUUACGAAGUAAUGAUUAAUAGGGACAGUUGGGGGUAUUCGUAUUUCGUUGUCAGAGGUGAAAUUCUCGGAUUUCCGAAAGACGAACUACUGCGAAAGCAUUUACCAAGGAUGUUUUCAUUAA
rnacentral:rRNA from 1 species